AUGAUCAUCAUGGCCUGGAACUGCCAAGGGUUGGGGUUGGACUCGACAGUUGACGAACUUCGGGACCUGAUUAGGUCAUACAACCCAGCGGUGGUGUUCUUAUCGGAAACCAAAAAGAGGGCGAGAGCGAUGGAUAGACUCAAGUGGAGUUUGGGAUUUAGCAAAGGUGUAGCGGUGGAUUGCAAGGGCAAGAGUGGUGGCUUAGCUCUUUGGUGGAGAGACCAGGUUGAGGUUACUGUUAGGCCGUGGUGCCAAUAUUAUAUCGACGCGGCCAUGGUCUGUGAUGGGGUCUCCUUUAGGUUCAUUAGAAUCUAUGGAGAGCCGUGUGUCAAGAAAAGAUCAAAGACCUGGGAGGUCCUGCGCUAUCUCCGUGCCCAAGACAACCUCCCAUGGAUUUGUGCAGAUGAUUUCAAUGAAGCACUAUGCCAGGAUGAGCAGCAAGGAGGUAACCCAAGGAGCAGGGCGCAAAUGGUAGUGUUUGAAGAAUGCCUGACCGACUGCGGUUUGGCAGAUCUCGCCUUUUUGGGGUAUCCGUUCACAUGGGAUAACAAGCGGGAUGCGGGUGACAAUAUCCAAGUGCGGUUGGACAGGGCGACAUGCAAUGCGGAUUUUGCUCAAGCUUUCCCAGCAACGGAAGUGCUACACGUGAUGACAGAAGAGUCCGACCACCGAGCUUUAGUAAUUAAAGCACUAUUGACGGAGGGGGCCGUCUGA
rnacentral:rRNA from 1 species